AAUAAACAGUCAAACAAAACAAACAAUCAAACAGACAGACAGACAAUCAAUCAAUCAAUCAAUUAAUCGAUCCAACAAACAAAUAAUCAAUAAGUCAAACAAACAAACAAAAAUAAAGAAAUAAAUUAAUUAACAAUCAAUCAAACUAAAUCAAUAAAUCAACGAAUAAACAAUUAAACAAUCAAUCAAACAAACAAACAAACAAACAAACAAACAAACAAACAAACAAACAAACAAACAAAAUAAAUAAACAAAAUAUUAAACAAACAUUCAAACAAACAUUCAAACAAACAAACAAAAUUAAACAAAAUAUUAAACAAACAAACAAACAAACAUUUAAACAAACAAUCAAACAAACUAACAAACAAAAUAAAACAAAAUAUUAAACAAACAAACAUUUAAACAAACAAUCAAACAAACAAACAAACAAAAUAAAACAAAAUAUUAAACAAACAAACAUUUAAACAAACAAUCAAACAAACAAACAAACAAAAUAAAACAAAAUAUUAAACAAACAAACAUUUAAACAAACAAUCAAACAAACAAACAAACAAACAAAAUAAAACAAAAUAUUAAACAAACAAACAUUUAAACAAACAUUCAAACAAACAAACAAAAUUAAACAAAAUAUUUAACAAACAAACAUUUAACAAAUGAACAAACAAACAAAUAAUAAUCCCAUAAUUGAUGCAUUCACAUCACUAUCAGUAUAAGAUCUAAAUGAUAAUAAUACUGAAGAUCUAAAUAAAUGAGCGUCACAUCUUUAUAGCAUCUGCAGUUGUACAGUAUCAGUUACUUUGUCAGUGGCACUUUUUUCUGUCCUGCUGCUAUUGAAACUCCACCCUUCUCUCACUCUCUCUCUUUCUCUCUCUCUCUCUCCUCUGCAGUGUUUUCUCUGCUGCGGUCAGCACAAGUGUUCAGUGUCAGUCUGGACGAUGCAGGACUGUCUGAUCAGGACACACAUGAUCCCGGUAAGGGAUGAAGAUGCCGAAUCUCAGAGGAAGGCCAAAUCACGGCAGGCCAGACAGACUCGGAGAGCUACACAGGGAGUAACCCUCUCAGAGCUCAUGGAGGCUAAGAAGACCUUCAGUACAUCAAAACUGGAAAUUCAACCAGGUGAAGUGUGCAGAUCUACAGAGAGACUGUGUGUUCAGAGAGUUCAUGAGGACACCACAGACUCCAGUCCAUCUCUGAAAACACUAGAACAACAUUCUGAGGAUCAUCUUGAUGAGGUGAUUAUGACACAAAAACGCUGCAAUUUACCACCGGAGAACAAUAACAGAUGCAAAUAAUGGGUUAGUCUGC
rnacentral:lncRNA from 1 species